rnacentral:rRNA from 1 species
UACGAAGGGUGCAAGCGUUAAUCGGAAUUACUGGGCGUAAAGGGUGCGUAGGCGGUUCGUUAAGUCUGUCGUGAAAUCCCCGGGCUCAACCUGGGAAUGGCGAUGGAUACUGGCGAGCUAGAGUGUGUCAGAGGAUGGUGGAAUUCCACGUGUAGCGGUGAAAUGCGUAGAGAUGUGGAGGAACACCGAUGGCGAAGGCAGCCUUCUGGGCCAACACUGACGCUCAUGCACGAAAGCGUGGGGAGCAAACAGG